ACGGGAACUGAGUCACUUUGUCAGCUUGAGUCUUGGGCAGCCCUUCCUCCUUCCCUCCCACCCAGCUGCAUCUCCUUUCAACGGAUGUGCGUGCAGCCCAGCAGGAAGAGUUGGGCUUGUAGAGCCAGAUUCUGGGCUUCCAGUUCUGGCUCAGCCACGCCCAGCUCUGUGCGACCCUGGGAAAAUCACUUUCAAGCUCUUUCUGGGCUGGAUGAGCCCUGGUGCAAAUAGUUACCCUGGAGUGGAAGUAGACGUGGAACACAGCGCCAAGGAGGAACAUCAGAACUGAGGGAACCAAGCCGGUUUGUGGAUGGUAACGAGACAGCAGGCACUGGGCAAGGGGCACAGCUGGGAGAGUGCAAGGAAGAUUAGCCCUGAGCUAACAUCUGCCGCCAAUCCUCCUCUUUUUGCGGAGGAAGAAUGGCCCUGAGCUAACAUCGGUGCCCAUCUUCCUCUACUUUAUAUGUGGGACGCCUGCUACAGUAUGUCUUGGCAAGUGGUGUGUAGGUCUGCACCUGGGAUCUGAACUGGCGAACCCCGGGCCACUGAAGUGGAACGUGUGAACUUAACUGCUGCACCACCAGGCUGGCCCCACAAUAAAGCAUUUUAAAAUGUCUCUUUCAAAAAUUACUUUUUAUCAUCUGUUUGAGAUAUUGUUCAGGAUGAAAUGGUCAAUGUAGAAUUUUUGUAAAUGUUUAAAACGAUCUAAAUAUUCACCAGUUAGGGAAAUGAUUAAUUAUUUUGUACCCAUAUGAUGGAAUACCUUACAAUUUCAAAAGCUGAGGUAGAUUUAUAUGUACAUAAAGUUGCAGAAUUGUGUGAUCACAUUGUAGUUAAAAAUUACAUAUAUGUAUUCGUGUAUAGAUGAGUGUAUAUUUAGACAAAAAAAAAAUGGUCUCAAAGGAUAUUCAUUGUAGUGAAUAAUAUGGUGGCCUUCCCAGCAUCCAUCCCCAUUACCCUAUUGCACAGUUUGGAUGGAAUUGACCCCAUGCCCAACUCCAGAGGUUGGCCCUAUUCAUGGAGCCAACUAGGAAAAUUUCAUCCUUUCUGCCACAGAGAUUAAUUCAAGAAUGGAAACCAACCCAAUCAAUACUUGGCAUUCCCCAGGCCUCAGUGAUGGGUUCAUAAGUAAGCACAUGGCCAAAUUCGGUCCAAUCAGAGUGAAGCCUAGGAUGUUCACUCCAUGGUUGUUGAGUUUCUCUCUCUCUUCCCUCUCUUCCUUUCCUUUCCCUCCCUACUCCUCUCUCUGAUGAAGCAUGUGGCCCUGUAGCCAGCAAUGUCACAAUCACGAGGUGAGCCAGACUUGGGAUGAAGCUGAUGUCUUGGAAGGUAGAGCAAGGAGAGAGAAACGGAGUCUUUGGUGACACAGUUGAGUGACUGAAUUAAACAAAUCCUGAAGCCUGCCCUUCCUCUGGGCUUUGAGAAGCUCUUUACAUUUUCUGUUGAAGAUGGUCAAAUGAAAUGGUGGAUGUGGUGUUGUUUGUAACAGCCAGGCAUUGGAAACAACCUAAAUGUUCAUUCACUCAGAAAAGGAUUAAAUAAAUUAUGAGAACCAGAAGAUUAUCUUCGUUGUUCUAUCCAUUUUGAAUGGAAUUUUCUCCUGCUUGUUAUAUAGUCUUCAUGGACGCAUGCAUCAAACUGUUUGAAGUGUUUAACCUUGGGAAUGGGGUGUUUGUGUGUGUAUGUGGUCAGAGGGCUGAUGGGAGAAAUUCUUUCAUUUG
rnacentral:lncRNA from 1 species